CAAAUCACUGGCAAUUUGAUAAUACCUAGAAUAUCAAAGUCAACUGUGGGCGGCAGAUCCUUCUCCUAUUUAGCGCCCAAACUCUGGAAUAACCUACCUAACAUUGUUCGGGAGGCAGACACACUCUUGCAGUUUAAAGCUAGAUUAAAGACCCAUCUCUUUAACCUGGUUUACACAUAACAUAUUAAUACACUUCUAAUAUCCAAAUCAGUUUAAGGAUUUUUAGGCUGCAUUAAUUAGGUAAACCGGAACCGGGAACACUUCCCAUAACAGCCAAUGUACUUGCUACAUCAUUAGAAGAAUGGCAUCUAUGCUCAUAUUAGUCUGAUUCUCUCUUAUUCCGAGGUCACCGUAGCCACCAGAUCCAGUCUGUAUCCAAGUCAGAGGGUCACUGCAGUCACCCGGAUCCAGUAUGUAUCCAGCCCAGAUGGUGGAUCAGCACCUAGAAAGGACCUCUACAUCCCUGAAAGACAGCGGAGACCAGGACAACUAGAUGAGCCACAGAGACAGAUCCCCUGUAAAGACCUUGUCUCAGACGACCACCGGGACAAGACCAUAGGAAACAGAUUAUUCUUCUGCACAAUCUGACUUUGCUGUAGCCUGGAAUUGAACUGCUGGUUUCGUCUGGUCAGAGGAGAACUAGCCCCCCGACUGAGCCUGGUUUCUCCCAAGGUUUUUUCUCCAUUCUGUCACCGAUGGAGUUUUGGUUCCUUGCCGUCUCUGGCUUGCUUAGUUGGGGACACUUCAUUUGCAGCGAUAUCGUUGACCUGAUUGCAAAUUAUUGCACAGAUACUAUUUAAACUGAACUGAGCUGCAUGAUGAUAUCACUGAAUUCAAUGAUGAACUGCCUUUAACUGUCAUUUUGCAUUAUUGACACACUGUUUUCCUAAUUAGUUUUGUUCAGUUGCUUUGACGCAAUCUUUUUUUGGUUAAAGCGCUAUAUAAAUAAAGGUGACUUGACUUGACUUUCAAUUCUGAGCUGUACGCAGAUGGUGUACGCUCUUCU
ensembl:lncRNA